rnacentral:rRNA from 1 species
AGUGAACGCUGGCGGCGUGCCUAACACAUGCAAGUCGAACGGACGAAGAGAGCUUGCUCUCCUAGUUAGUGGCGCACGGGUGAGUAACACGUAGCUAACCUGCCCCAUAGUAAGGGACUACAGGUGGAAACGAAUGCUAAUACCUUAUACUCCUUCUCUACCUCAGUAGAGUCGGGUAAGAUUUUUCGCUAUGGGAUGGGGCUGCGGCCUAUCGGCUUGUUGGGGAGGGAAUGGCUCCCCAAGGCUAUGACGUGUAGCUGGUGCUAGAGGGUGGUCAGGCACAUUGGAACUGAGACACGGUCCAAACUCCUACGGGAGGCAGCAGUGGGGAAUUUUACACAAUGGGCGAAAGCCUGAUGUAGCAACGCCGCGUGGAGGAUGAUGGAUUUAGGUUCGUAAACUCCUUUUAUAAGGGAAGAAAUUUGACGGUACCUUAUGAAUAAGCACCGGCUAACUCCGUGCCAGCAGCCGCAGUAA